GGAUGUGAGGGCAAUCUUAGUGCAGCAUCUGUCACAUCAUUGAUUGCCAGGGUUAACCCAGAAGAUCUGGAGGGCUAGGCGGUGUCCCCUUUCUACUUCCCUGCUCCAUAUGCAUCCUUCCCAAACUUGUGCGCUCAGUGUGUGAGGAUGACCUUCCCUGAGUGAGGAAGAUAGUUCUUGAGUCUCCAAGGGUCUCUGAGUAGCAACUUGCCUCUGCCAGAUCCUAGAAGACAAACUCUCAGGGUCCAUUUGUAGGAGCAUAUAUCUCAGUUAAGCUUCCAAGACUCCAGACACAUUCAAAUGAGAUACUGUGUGUGUCGGCCUAUCUUCUUUU
rnacentral:snRNA from 1 species